rnacentral:snoRNA from 1 species
UUGAAUGAUGAUACAAACCAUGUGCUCGAAGAUCAACACUCAAUGGGAGCGCAAUGAUUUCUCAAUAGACUACAACGGUAUCUGACC